rnacentral:rRNA from 1 species
UUGCCAGCCGCCGCGGUAAUACGUAGGUCCCGAGCGUUGUCCGGAUUUAUUGGGCGUAAAGCGAGCGCAGGCGGUUAGAUAAGUCUGAAGUUAAAGGCUGUGGCUUAACCAUAGUACGCUUUGGAAACUGUUUAACUUGAGUGCAAGAGGGGAGAGUGGAAUUCCAUGUGUAGCGGUGAAAUGCGUAGAUAUAUGGAGGAACACCGGUGGCGAAAGCGGCUCUCUGGCUUGUAACUGACGCUGAGGCUCGAAAGCGUGGGGAGCAAACAGGAUUAGAUACCCCCGUAGUCC